UCUCCCCUCGCCCGCGCCCUCUCGCCGCCGCUCUCUCGUCUCCUCGCCUCACCGUCACCAGCCAACGCCGCUGACCUCUGGAUCUCGCAUCGCCCGCACCAGCCACCAACGGCUUUCGUCUCGCCCGCAACAGCCACCACCGGCUUGGUCGCCUCGCCGUCGCCAGCCAGCACAUCCACCGGCUUCCUGCACCUCUCGCUGCAGCCUUGACCCUGAUGCCUGCCCUGCUCCGCGUCUCCGGCACAGCACGCUAAAAUUGGGCCGGCGAUGCAAGGUCAACGGUCACGGCGACGGCAAAGAUGAACACUUCGCCGUACGAUCGAAUUAUUCAGAGUCAGGUUAGUUAAUCUUCUUCGGUUCAUCUUGCAUCUGGUUUAGCAAGUCGCCACCCUCCGCACGUUUAAUUCAACCUUGCUCAGGUACGGCAUCUCUGGUAUUCUCAAUGAGAACACUUCAAAUGUAUUCACUGAACUGAUGUUAGGCAGAGCUGCCAAGAGUAGUCUAAAAGUCUCGCUAACAGUUUUUGAACACAACAAAGCAGUAUCAGUGGACACUUAUUAUUGUUUCUUCCCUUAAACCUUUUCGGGCAGUUGGUGUCCUCUCUCAAAUAGAAAAGAACAGCAAAAGGAGAAAAGGAGAGGAAGAGUUUUCAUGCUUCGGUCAUUCAAAUAACUGGGUUGCAAGCUGACGGCUCUCACUUCCAAUUCAACGAGGACUACGACAUGUUUGGCUGGCCAUGCAGUAUCAUUCUAGCAGAGUACGUGUGGCAACAGAGGUCACGGUUCUCUGGUUCCCAAGUUGUUGAGGUGGUACUUCUCUUUGAGCUACACUGAAUGUUCGUAGCCAGUGACCAAUGUGGUCCAUUUGUUAGUUGGGUAAACUGUAAAUGGCAAUCCACCUAACAAUCUUAGUCAAUAGCUGGGAAGUGCCAAUUCCUUCGUUCAAUAGUCUCUUGUAAUGGAAUUCUGUGUUUCUCUAUGGUGAGGUUAUUGUUCAGUCGAACGAAACUACAGCUAUGCCGAACAAUAAUAAUGUCGGUAGUUGAUAUUAGACUUUUACAUUUGCGCCAGCCAGCAACCUGGUUUAUGUUGUAUUGAACUACAGAAAGUAUGUUGUGCUGACAGAUUUCCAAUGUCCUCAUCUUUCCGGAAGCUCAGGAAUUGUUCUAGUUGUUGGGCUGGAUUGCUUACUGGGGCCUGACAACUAUUUAA